GGGGGGGGGGGGGGAGAGGGGGGAGAGAGUUUAAGAGUGAAGUUUCAGUUUCUUCCAUCGGACUCAAACUUUUGUUACAUACAAAAACUGAAGGAAAUGGCUAAACAUCCACAAAAGAAUAGCCUAUUUUAGAAUCAAGGAAUGCUGUAAAGUCUGUUUCUUUGAACGACAUCAAUACUGCGCUAACACAACAUACAAUACUAUAGGCCAAUUCGCCACCAAAAAAAU
rnacentral:lncRNA from 1 species